rnacentral:lncRNA from 1 species
AAAAAGACAAAAAAAACUAAGUUUUUCUUACAUUGGUGUGGCCAAAGAAGACAAAGAAAUCAACGGAAGAUGAUUCUUUACACAGGCAAGCAAAGAAGAGUGCUAGGGGAGGAGGAACAAAUAUCCACUAGUGUUCUCUCUUUCUUGUAAGGAUAAAUAAUUGUCUUCUGAAGUUGAUUUAAUCCCCUACUUAAGGUAUGCCUAAAUAAGCCUUAGAGGCGAUUGAUUUCACUUUCCUAGAAAAUUCUAAUUCCAAGUCCAAGUGGGAAUCUGCAUCAAAGUUAGAGAUCUCUACACCUGCUGCAUUUUCCUACGAGCAGCCCAACAAGUAUGGGGGCAUUUGGGAAGGCAAAAAUAAUCAAGAAAAUUAUGGAGGCAACACGUGUACUUUUGGGUUAAAAGGACAAAAUUACCCUCGAGGCACACCGGAAUUCCCAUGCACAUGCAAUAGACAAUAACGGCUCAAUCAAGGAAAAGUCAAAGUUGAUCAAAAUGGUAUUUAUUCAAAACUCUCUCAUCACUCCUCAUCAAAUCCUCACUCAAAAGGUAACUCCCAAUUUUCCUAUUCAAUUUGGGAUUAAUUGCCAAGUUAAUUGUAAGAUAUUGUUUCACAUAAUAUCUUGCAAUUACACUCACAAUUUGACCAUAUGUAGCCGGCCCCUAUUAUCCAAAUAAGGCCGAUCACUCCCAUAUAAAUAGCCAUGUUUUCCCACUAAAAUGUAAGGUCAUUCUCUCUCCAAAAAUUCCUAAACAAUUUCACUCUCAAAUUCUAACUUUGGCAUCGAAGAUUUUUUGGCUAAAACCCUCCCAUUCAUUGUGGACAUGUGAGGCUUUUGGCCUUAUUCUUAGAUAUUAUUUUGCAAGUGCAUUUUCAUUAAAGAAAAAGACAGUGAAAAUUUGCAUCUACAAUUAGUAUAUCAAUAAUCAUUAGCCACUUCACACACUGUCUGCUACUAUUGACUUUUCGCACGCAAGCACUGUACCGUCCUUUGUCACCUUUUGCAUAUGUAUCUUAGAUUUGGCCAUUAAUUCUCAUUUGAUUUGUUUAAAGGAAAAUUAAUGAAAAUGUUUGAAAACGUUGAGUUUUAACGAUAAAGACAAAAUAAAGGGAAAAGUGAAUAGUACCAAGAUUGACUUUUUAGUGUAAAAAUAUGGGGUUUCGUUAAAAUGAACAGUACCACGGGUUUUUCGUUAAAACUCCCUUUGUUUAAUCUAACAAUUGGGAAACAGGAGAGAUGCGCGGGAGGUGAAAACGGUGUGCAAAAAAAAUAUUCUUUAUUAUCUAAUAACCUUUCUCUUUCGUACUCAGCUUAACUAAGUGGUAGUUGUUGGUAUAUUUUGAAAGAUAUCAUACAGAAUUCCCGUUCCUUGUAUAUAAAAUGAUUAAGAACUGAUAAUCACAAUAAUGUACUUCUUCGUACCACCUGUAACGAUUAGUGAGGGAUAAUUUUUAAAUUGCUUCUUCACUUGUACCAUUUUGUUGACAAAACUUGUUCCGCAUCAAUAUAAUACAAUAAUUCAAGGGGACAAAAUUUGGAUGAUGCAUUCCCUGUGAUCUCCGUUGCAAGGCGUCUGAAAGACAAGCAUUGGCUCCAUAAAUUAGUAUAAUUACUAAAUUAGACAAUCGAAGCACAAAAAAUAUGGGUUAAUUACAGUGCUACCUGAGCAUAUUGACUUUUCAAGAGACAUAUUAGUUAUUUAAACUGAUGAAGAAAGUGAUACAAGUUUGCUGAAGUACUAGGCAUUACUAAUGCAGCUUAUCGGAUGGAUAAAUCAUUGACUAAUUCUCAUUGGAAAUUAUUUUUUAUAUUUUUUUUUGUCGACUCAUUGGAAAAUAGUUAAAUUAACUAAUUAUUCCAAAUGGUACGAAGAAGUACAAAAGAGGGCAUGAUGCAUGCCUCCGAUUACUUAACAACCACGAGAGAUUUUUCAGUGUGACCGUCACACUAUGUAGUACAUCACCUGCCUAUAUAAAUAAUGGGUUAUGUGUGUUAAAAUGUUAAUAACUUAAAAAUUAAAAUUUUCCACCACUUGCAUAAAAACACGUGGUGUACCAUCUGUAUUCCUGUCACAGCUAAAAAUUUCUCAACAACCACCCCUCAUAUUUAAAUGCUGGUGACAUACACCAUCAAUAGAUAUUUUGAUAGGAAUCUAUCAACAAGGAUCCUCUUCGGAUCUUCUUUGUGGGGAUCCGAAAAUCAAUUAAUCUUAUAUGUUUAUCAUAUAUCGUACGGUCAGUUUUCGUUAAGUAUAAUUUAUAUUCAAUUUUAAAUUAAGAAUUUAAAAUGAUUUCUAACUGCACGAUGUAUGAUAAACGGAUACAAUUAAUUGAUCAUCUGGAUCCCCAUAAAGAGGAUCCUAUUCUAGAAUCUAUAUACACAACGCUAAGAAGACUCUUUCAAUACCACUUAGUACUAUGGUCUAGUAGUGUUCCUCUUCACUUGUAAGUAAGAGGUUUUAGGUUUGAUUCUCGCCAAAGACGAAUUUGAACCACAUUAUUGAUUCUCGCCAACUCCCCCACUCUUUAGUGUAGAUAAUAUCGUUUGUU